rnacentral:rRNA from 4 species
GCAUAUCAAUAAGCGGAGGAAAAGAAACCAACAGGGAUUGCUCUAGUAACGGCGAGUGAAGCAGCAAUAGCUCAAAUUUGAAAUCUGGCGUCUUCGACGUCCGAGUUGUAAUUUGUAGAGGAUGCUUCUGAGUAACCACCGACCUAAGUUCCUUGGAACAGGACGUCAUAGAGGGUGAGAAUCCCGUAUGCGGUCGGAAAGGUGCUCUAUACGUAGCUCCUUCGACGAGUCGAGUUGUUUGGGAAUGCAGCUCUAAAUGGGAGGUAAAUUUCUUCUAAAGCUAAAUAUUGGCCAGAGACCGAUAGCGCACAAGUAGAGUGAUCGAAAGAUGAAAAGCACUUUGGAAAGAGAGUUAAAAAGCACGUGAAAUUGUUAAAAGGGAAGGGAUUGCAACCAGACUUGCUCGCGGUGUUCCGCCGGUCUUCUGACCGGUCUACUCGCCGCGUUGCAGGCCAGCAUCGUCUGGUGCCGCUGGAUAAGACUUGAGGAAUGUAGCUCCUUCGGGAGUGUUAUAGCCUCUUGUGAUGCAGCGAGCGCCGGGCGAGGUCCGCGCUUCGGCUAGGAUGCUGGCGUAAUGGUCGUAAUCCGCCCGUCUUGAAACACGGACC